rnacentral:rRNA from 1 species
UGGCGCACGGGUGAGUAACGCGUGGGUAAUCUCCCCUGGAGUCGGGAAUAACAUCUCGAAAGGGGUGCUAAUACCUGAUAAAUUCCUGAUGACUCCGGUCAGCGGGAUAAAAGAGGGCUGAGGCUUGCAAGCUAUCGCUCCAGGAUGAGCUCGCGUACCAUUAGCUAGUUGGCGGGGUAAUAGCCCACCAAGGCAAUGAUGGUUAGCUGGUCUAAGAGGAUGGCCAGCCACACUGGAACUGAGACACGGUCCAGACUCCUACGGGAGGCAGCAGUGAGGAAUCUUGCGCAAUGGGGGAAACCCUGACGCAGCAACGCCGCGUGAGUGAUGAAGGCCUUCGGGUCGUAAAACUCUGUCAGAUGGGAAGAAGGUUCCAGGGACGAAGAAUCCCUGGGAUUGACGGUACCGUCAGAGGAAGCACCGGCUAACUCCGUGCCAGCAGCCGCGGUAAUACGGAGGGUGCAAGCGUUGUUCGGAAUUAUUGGGCGUAAAGAGCGUGUAGGCGGCCUAGUAAGUCAGAUGUGAAAUCCCUUGGCUUAGCCAAGGAAGGGCAUUUGAAACUGCUUGGCUUGAGUACGGGAGGGGGAAGUGGAAUUCCCGGUGUAGAGGUGAAAUUCGUAGAUAUCGGGAGGAACACCGGUGGCGAAGGCGGCUUCCUGGACCGAUACUGACGCUGAGACGCGAAAGCGUGGGGAGCAAACAGGAUUAGAUACCCUGGUAGUCCACGCCGUAAACGUUGGGCACUAGGUGUUGCGGGUAUUGACCCCUGCAGUGCCGAAGCUAACGCAUUAAGUGCCCCGCCUGGGGAGUACGGCCGCAAGGCUAAAACUCAAGGAAUUGACGGGGGCCCGCACAAGCGGUGAGCAUGUGGUUCAUUCG